rnacentral:rRNA from 1 species
AACGAACGCUGGCGGCAUGCCUAACACAUGCAAGUCGAACGAGAUCUUCGGGUCUAGUGGCGCACGGGUGCGUAACGCGUGGGAAUCUGCCCUUUGGUUCGGAAUAACAGUUGGAAACGACUGCUAAUACCGGAUGAUGACGAAAGUCCAAAGAUUUAUCGCCAGAGGAUGAGCCCGCGUAGGAUUAGCUAGUUGGUGUGGUAAAGGCGCACCAAGGCGACGAUCCUUAGCUGGUCUGAGAGGAUGAUCAGCCACACCGGGACUGAGACACGGCCCGGACUCCUACGGGAGGCAGCAGGGGGGAAUAUUGGACAAUGGGCGAAAGCCUGAUCCAGCAAUGCCGCGUGAGUGAUGAAGGCCUUAGGGUUGUAAAGCUCUUUUACCCGGGAUGAUAAGGACAGUACCGGGAGAAUAAGCUCCGGCUAACUCCGUGCCAGCCGCCGCCGUAA